rnacentral:rRNA from 1 species
UACGUAGGGUGCGAGCGUUAAUCGGAAUUACUGGGCGUAAAGAGUGCGUAGGCGGUUUUCUAAGUUUGGUGUGAAAUCUCCCGGCUUAACUGGGAGGGUGCGUCGAAGACUGGAAGGCUUGAGUAUGGGAGAGGUAAGCGGAAUUCCUGGUGUAGCGGUGAAAUGCGUAGAUAUCAGGAGGAACACCUGCGGUGUAGACGGCUUACUGGACCAUAACUGACGCUGAGGCACGAAAGCGUGGGUAGCAAACAGG